rnacentral:rRNA from 1 species
ACGGGGCGCAGCAGGCGCGAAAACUUUACAAUGCUGGCAACAGCGAUAAGGGAACCUCGAGUGCCAGGUUACAAAUCUGGCUGUCGAGAUGCCUAAAAAGCAUUUCAUAGCAAGGGCCGGGCAAGACCGGUGCCAGCCGCCGCGGUAACACCGGCGGCUCGAGUGGUAACCGUUAUUAUUGGGUCUAAAGGGUCUGUAGCCGGCCGGAUAAGUCUCUUGAGAAAUCUGGCAGCUUAACUGUCAGGCUUUCAGGAGAUACUGUCUGGCUCGAGGCCGGGAGAGGUGAGAGGUACUUCAGGGG